rnacentral:lncRNA from 1 species
AAAAAAACCAUGGAUACAAUUAGAAAAAGCACACAGAUUUCCUCAGAACAUCAAGUAAAAGCUCGAUAUUAAGCUCAUGUGGACUUACCUCGAGAACAAUUGGUUCUACUCAAAAGAUGCACUUGUAUAGAAAGUUCAUCAAAAUGGAGAUGCACAAGUAAAAGCAACAACAAUUGAGAUCUUACUUACCAGGAAGCAAAUCAUGAUUGAAUCCAUAUAAUAUCGCAAUAGGUAGAAUCCACAUGAACAUCGAUGCAAUUAGGAACUUCUGCAUAACCCCAGCCAUUGGUACCACUCAAAAUCUACAUCAAAAUCAUGAAAUCACGAUUCAACGAAGAUGCGACAUUUGGGAUAGAAAAUACACAAAUCUGCAUCAAGGGUUUUCAACAAAUAACCUAAAAACAACAAAGCAAGCGAAAAAAUCAAAGCUUUACAAUGAAUCUGGCGAGUUAACUCGAUCUUGGACUCGAGGUUUCAGAGUAUGUCUCGCAAAGUCUAGAUAUUUUUCCCUUGUCAAUCAAAUCACAACGAAGCUAUUAUUAACCAGAGUGAUACACUAAUAGCACAUUUCAAACCGAAACAAACCGAUAUAUUUGUUCGGUUCAAGUUAAAAUAAACUGCCUGCCGUUUUUAAGAAACUACACGUAGUUUAGCUGAACGUGUUGUUUUGACUUUGGUGUAUCUGUUUAUUCUGUUAUAAAAAUGUGUUUCUUUUUCUUCAAGCUAAUAUGGUCAACGAACUAAUUAAUAUUAGAUGCAACAACAUCAAAUGUCGAUUUCAGGAAAUUAGAGAAGACAAUAGCUAGUGAUGGAGAAGAGACCAGAUCUUAGAUCAUUUCUUCAGUAUUUGCCUAUUGUGGCUCAGUCUUCAUCUCUACUUUGGCCACCUUCUGUUAAAGAAGAGCUUCAAACAAUGUCAAAAGGGCCAAGUGAGUCAAUGGUUAGCUCAGGGGAGGCUCUUGCUUUGCAUAUCAUGAAUAUUCGGCAAUCCCUCUCCUUGAAUGCAUCUGAUCUCGCACCUAAUGCGUUACAAGGGUAUGCUCUUUUCUUUGACAAGGUAACUAUUCUUUUGAUUGUGUGUGUGUGUUUUAAAAAAAUCAAAAACAUUUUCACCUAGGUUGAACAUAUGGCAUAGAACAUAAGUACUCAUAAACAACUGUUUUGUUGUUAUGCAGAAAAUUUCUAGAGAAGAGGCUACUAGCUUUUUUGGUGAGGUGGUUCCUGGAUUGUGUGGAUUACUUCUCAAGUUACCUUCCAUGUUAGAAAUGCACUAUCAGAAAUCAGACCAUGUUCUUGAUGGAGUUAUGUCCGGGCUUCGUAUAUUAGGUCCUCAAGAAGCUGGCAUUGUGUUUCUUAGCCAGGUAAUAAAAACAUGCAUUGUGUUGCAUUAAUUUCUGAAACCAAGCUUUCUUUAUUCAUCUCUCCUAUUUCUACCUUUUCCACCCCUCAGUACAUUUUGAUGCCGUCUUCUGCAGGAGUUAAUUGCAGCUCUUCUUGCAUGCUCAUUCUUUUGUUUGUUCCCUGAAGUUGACAGACGCAUAAAGAAUCUUCAAGGAAUCAACUUUGAUGAAUUGUUUUCGUAUGUAAAUAGCUCCCUUCCUCUCCUUACAAUUACAAUUAAACAACUAUGAUAUUCCUAGAGUUACAAAUCCCUCUUGUGUGUUUUCUAUAAGGUUUUUGUAUACGCGUCAGUACACGAAGCAAGAGAGCAAAAUAAGGUGCAUCAUCCAUUACUUUGAAAGGAUAUGUCAAUGUAUCCCCACAGGCUUUGUUUCCUUUGAGAGGAAAAUUCUUCCUUUGGAAUACAAUCAUUGCUAUGUUUCAUACCCUGCGGCUGAUUAUUGGGCCAAAUUCAUCACCCCGCUUUGUUCCGUUGAGGUAACAUAGAAACAUUAGUAAGCUUCUUUGUUAUUAGUCCAUUUCUUUCAUACGAUUCAUGAGUAUGCUCUGGAACUAGGUUCAUACCUCAGGUGUUAUAGAAGAUCAACCCGGUGAAGCUCUUGAAGUGGAUUUUGCUGAUGAAUAUUUUGGUGGUCUUACUCUUCGUAAUGGAUGUCUUCAGGUCCGUUUUUUAGAAGAAUACACCCACAAACUCUUUACUAUGUUGAAAAUGUCAUUCUAUAUAUGUAGGAAGAGAUAAGGUUCAUGAUCAACCCGGAACUUAUAGUUGGCAUGCUCUUCUUGCCUCGUAUCGAUAAAAAUGAAGCCAUUGAGAUUGUUGGUGUUGAAAGAUUUUCACUUUACUCCGGGUAGUUAAUUAUUAAUAAUACAUGUGAAAGAACAUGUUAAAGCUUAUUGUAGCUUUCUUACAAGAAAAGGCCAAACAUGUACAGGUUUGGAUCUUCGUUCCAAUUCGUCGGCGAUUACACAGACAAGAAAGAGUUAGAUACUUUCAUGAGGCGAAAAAGGAGAGUUGUAGCUAUAGAUGCCAUUCGUCAGCCAGGAAUGAGACAAUACAAACCCGAUGGCCUCCUUCGGUAUUGAAAAUGAAAUACUUAUUAGCCUUUUUCACUCUAUUUUUUUUCAUAAUUUUCUUUUUUUGGUUCUCGGUUUGGCUUUUGUUUCUAUAUAUAGAGAAGUUAACAAGGCUUUUAGUGGAUACUUGCAUCGAUGUAAACAUCAAGUGGACCCUCAGCUUCCUCUACCAUCAUAUUCGGCGAGCCAAAUUGUAGAAAGCUCACAAGUAUGGUGUAUCGAUCAUCAUGAGGAUAAGAAGAUUGGUGUAGCUACAGGGAAUUGGGGAUGCGGUGUGUUUGGAGGCGAUCCAGAACUAAAGGUCAUGCUUCAGUGGCUUGCCAUUUCACAUGUACACUUUUACUGUUAAUCAAUAUACAUAUCUUGCAAACACACAAUAAUUAUCAUUAUUGAGUUUUGAAAUAAUGCUUUCCAUUAUCUACUUCUCUAGUCCGGAAGACCCUUCUUGUCAUACUACACUUUUGGCUUACAAGCCCUACAAAAUCUCAAUCAGGUUAUUCACUUUUGGAUCAUUAUAUACACUAAAACCACCUGUACUUCUCCCUUUCCAAGCCCUUUAAAGAAGUGUCUUUAAAAUUCUAUCCAGGUGACAGAGAGGCUUGCGUUGCAAGAAUUAACUGUAGGAGACCUAUGGAACAUACUAGUUGAAUACUCUUCAGAGAGGCUCAGCAGAAGAACACGGCUUGGAUUUUUCUCGUGGCUCAUGACAUACCUUUCUUCUUAACUGACCAAAUUGAGUCAGAGCUCGCUUUUUAUACAUAUAUUGUCUAUGCAUGUGAUCGAUGUGUCUGUCUAACUAGUUGAAUAUCAUCUCUUCCUAAACUGAAUUUGUGUGGAAUAAUCGAUAGUUUUAUGUAAUUGUAUCAGUUUGUUUCGACCUUAUAAAGCACUUACUCAAACUAGUUUAGGGAUUGUAUUUAGUUUGAAAUAAAGGCAUUUGGGAAUAAAAACUUGCCAAAAUUAAACAUCAUCCGUUCAGAAAAUAAUAUAAUGCAUGAAAAAAUCAUCACAAUCCAAAAAACACCAACUAAAAACACCCUAAAAAAAACACCCAAAGAAAUGCCUGAAAUAGAAACUUGUAUGGCACGGAAAAAAGAGUUAAGAGUCAAAUAUAGACAGAGAUCGGUGACAUAGCAGAACUAUUCUGGCCGGAAUCUCUCUUCACAACCGGAGCUCAAGGUCAAGCUCUGUGUCGCUGACCAGUGAGCUCCUCUGGAGGUCCAGCUCUGUGAUGGAGGCCAGUGAGCUCCUCCUAUUUGCCUCUUGUAAAGCCUCGAGAUGUGUCGCCUUCUCACACACUUCAACCAACAUAUUUAGCCCCUCCAAAUUUUUCUCUGGAAUUGGAAAUAUUCUGUCGUUCUCUUCUUGAGCCGCCUCAGCUUUAGAUAUAUAUAGUUCGUCGGAAUCCCUUGUAACAACUGGAGUUGGAUCCCUAACCAGAGCCAGAGAUAGAGACAGAACGGGAGCCGGAGCUGGAGCUGGAUCCGUAACCAGAGCUAGAGACAGAGACAAAGCGGGAGCUGGAGCUGGAGAUGUAGCUGGAUCCAGAGGAGCAAAAGCAACAUAGAGCUCGUCUGUGGUGCGAUCCACACCGGCCACAACCUUGUUCUCCACUUUGCGGAAGGACCAAAUCUGAAGCGUCUGGCCUUCCUCUAGUCUGUUACCGGCGACAACUUUGUUCCACCCUGAAGCCAAGGCGUAGUUGGAAUUGGACCUCAUAUCCCAUCUCCUGAGGUUAAGCCCCCAUUUUUUACCAUUAGAAUCCACCAAGGUAAAGUCCACUCCUUUUUUAAUCUUCUUUCUGAAAUGUUUGUCUAUGAUUUCCAACUCAUCCUCAUUCAGAAAGUCCAUAUCUACUAUGCCCUUCCAAGGAAUCAAGAGACGUGCCUCGUUUUCGUUGAUAUCGCUCCAUACAAGGACCUUCUCCUUUAUCAUCUUCACGUCCGUACCAUUCUCCUCUCUCAUCAGGUCAACCAGCCAUUCCGGCGUAGGCCCCCUCUCUUGAACCGCCUCUCUUUCUCUAACCAUCUUUCUUCUUCUUACCUUUUUCUUCUUUCUUCUUCUUACCUUUUUCUUGGAGACCACUUGUCCACGCUUCUUGGACUCUACAUGGCACAAGCUUAGAGAACAAGCAUCACGAUUAAGGUUUUGUUUUUUAGGGUAUUGAUUCUUGCACUCACCAAUCAUCAUCUUCUGUUGUUUGCCCGAGCUGGAGCACAUCGCUGUCCUCGUUCUCUUUCUCGUGUUAUCCUUCACAGUAGCAAGAACACCAGUGGAUGUUUCUCCUUCUUCCUCAUAGCUAAAAGCUCUAAUUAUUCUCUCCGUCGCUAGAGAUAAAAUAUCAAACGACCUUUUCUCUCGACGCAAAAGCUCAAGAUGAUCAUCACCUCUCACCAUCGUUAUCAAAGAUAGAUAGAGAGACCAAGAGGUCAGCGGCAGAGAGGAAUGAGUUAUAUAGAGUUCUGACUUCUAUUGUCUCACCAAGAGAAAGGUAUAUAACUUUCUAUAAAUCUUUUUUUUGAAAAGAAGAUAAUCUCUAUAUUAAAACAAAAAGAAAAAUGAUAAUCUCUAUACAUUUUUAAUUGGUGUUAGAUAAUUAUCUAUACUAAAUACUUUUUUUGUUUUGUUUUGUUUAAAUCUAUACGUAUCUUUGCAUUCCUAUUGGCUAUUUCUAAGAAAGUAAUCGGUAGUGUAAGUCCAAAUUACAAGACUAUUUGAAUCCAGUGUAUAAUAAUAACGGGUAUGCUAAAAUAUUUGAAUCCAGUAAUCAUUGAAUCCUAUUUGAAAUCCGUAAAUCUAAAGAUACACUUUAUUUGGAUACUUUUGCUCCACGAUUUUAUGUCAUUUACAAAACGGGUGCGGUUUUCAGAAGGUUUUUUUUUUAUGUUUCACUCUGGUGCCAAAUUUUAAACCUAACGUGGCCUUUAUAUAAGAGCAAGUAAAACAAGUUUACAAAGUAAAAAAGACAACAAAAGGUCUUAGACUGCAACAUUCAAACAAAUGGCCAGUCGUGUUCUGAACUGUUUAUGGAUUUGAGAUUUCAUUAGUCAUGUUAAAUGCUGUCUUCAUNNNNNNNNNNNNNNNNNNNNNNNNNNNNNNNNNNNNNNNNNNNNNNNNNNNNNNNNNNNNNNNNNNNNNNNNNNNNNNNNNNNNNNNNNNNNNNNNNNNNNNNNNNNNNNNNNNNNNNNNNNNNNNNNNNNNNNNNNNNNNNNNNNNNNNNNNNNNNNNNNNNNNNNNNNNNNNNNNNNNNNNNNNNNNNNNNNNNNNNNNNNNNNNNNNNNNNNNNNNNNNNNNNNNNNNNNNNNNNNNNNNNNNNNNNNNNNNNNNNNNNNNNNNNNNNNNNNNNNNNNNNNNNNNNNNNNUUUCUUCUUCUGUCAAAGCACUCAUAUGCACAUUUGAAAUAAGCUUGCUGUAACAAUGAAGUUGUUGUCGAUGUUUAUUAAAUUGAUUCAUAUAACUCAAUAUAUAACUCAAGAAUUAAGAAAAGUACUAACACUCAUGCUUUUGAAGUCAAAACAGAGCAAUGUGAGACAUCUUCAUGAGCCUGAUUUAGCGGCAAGACUUCAGCUUUGGUCUAUCUAACAAACCAAGUCUCUAGAAGAACACUGAGAUCUAAUUAGUUCUUACAAUGGUAAGGAUCAGCUACGCAAAAUUCCACCAAAUUGAUCUCAAUUUAGCACAAAUUGAUCUCAAUUUAGCACAAAUUGAGAAAUCUAAGAAAUCUUUGUCAACCUAACAAAUGCGAGAACAUGUACUUGUCAUAACAAGCAUGAACUUCUAAUUACAGUUUACAGAAUUUCAAUUCAAGAGCUCGAAACUCCAAACACGAUUAAGCAAAACUCAGAACCAUGGAUACAAUUAGAAAAGCACACAGAUUUCCUCAGAACAUCAAGUCAACCUGAACAAUUAAGCUUUUCAUGUGGACUUACCUCGAGAACAAGUGAUUCUACUCUAAAGAUGCACUUGUAUAGAAAGAUCAUCAAAAUGCAGAUGCACAAGUAAAAGCAACAACAUUGGGAUCUAACUUACCAGGAAGCAAAUCAUGUUUGAAUCCAUAUAAUAUCGCAAUAGGUAGAAUCCACAUGAACAUCAAUG